rfam:Ictidomys tridecemlineatus contig020099, whole genome shotgun sequence.
UGGGUUGUGGCUCAGUAAUAGAGCGCUUGCCUAGUAUGCAUGAGGCACUGGGUUUGAUCCCUGGUACCGCAU